rnacentral:piRNA from 1 species
UGCUCCAUUGCUGUACUCACACCGAU